UGGUACCACAACUCCGGUGCUCUUCUUAGUACGCAUCAUACUUUUUUUCUUGAACCUUCGGCAGACGUCAAGAAGCCGGCGGUGACUACCUUUCAGGAACCCAUCUAAAGUUUCCUCACCAUGGAAUAUGCCCGCCUACAAGCAUUUCAACAACAACUAGAUUUCAAACUCGCAAGAUUGCAACGGAGGAAACAUUUGCUUAGGAAACGAAACAUACACCGCAACGAUUCCACACACCAGUUGGAAAAGCUUCAUCAAGUUUGCGCUGACGAAAAAUAAAUUUCAAAUCAAAUCCGAAGGACAAAAUCCAGGCUACACCGAUUAAAACGUCGCUCGCACCAAAUUAAAAAAUCUGGUAUCAUGUUUUCUUUAAAUAUUGGCAUUUCCAUUGUAAUUCCAAAUAUUAGUCCCAAUAUUGUAAUAUUUUUUUAUUUUUGAUUAUUUCCAAUAAUAUAAUAUGUCUAUAAUUUUUUCCCAACCCUUAUACUGAUUGACUUAAUUAACUUAUCGAGUUAAUUCCC